CGAAUGCUGACAUAAGUAACGAUAAAGCGGGUGAAAAGCCCGCUCGCCGGAAGACCAAGGGUUCCUGUCCAACGUUAAUCGGGGCAGGGUGAGUCGACCCCUAAGGCGAGGCCGAAAGGCGUAGUCGAUGGGAAACAGGUUAAUAUUCCUGUACUUGGUGUUACUGCGAAGGGGGGACGGAGAAGGCUAUGUUGGCCGGGCGACGGUUGUCCCGGUUUAAGCGUGUAGGCUGGUUUUCCAGGCAAAUCCGGAAAAUCAAGGCUGAGGCGUGAUGACGAGGCACUACGGUGCUGAAGCAACAAAUGCCCUGCUUCCAGGAAAAGCCUCUAAGCAUCAGGUAACAUCAAAUCGUACCCCAAACCGACACAGGUGGUCAGGUAGAGAAUACCAAGGCGCUUGAGAGAACUCGGGUGAAGGAACUAGGCAAAAUGGUGCCGUAACUUCGGGAGAAGGCACGCUGAUAUGUAGGUGAAGCGACUUGCUCGUGGAGCUGAAAUCAGUCGAAGAUACCAGCUGGCUGCAACUGUUUAUUAAAAACACAGCACUGUGCAAACACGAAAGUGGACGUAUACGGUGUGACGCCUGCCCGGUGCCGGAAGGUUAAUUGAUGGGGUUAGCGGUAACGCGAAGCUCUUGAUCGAAGCCCCGGUAAACGGCGGCCGUAACUAUAACGGUCCUAAGGUAGCGAAAUUCCUUGUCGGGUAAGUUCCGACCUGCACGAAUGGCGUAAUGAUGGCCAGGCUGUCUCCACCCGAGACUCAGUGAAAUUGAACUCGCUGUGAAGAUGCAGUGUACCCGCGGCAAGACGGAAAGACCCCGUGAACCUUUACUAUAGCUUGACACUGAACAUUGAGCCUUGAUGUGUAGGAUAGGUGGGAGGCUUUGAAGUGUGGACGCCAGUCUGCAUGGAGCCGACCUUGAAAUACCACCCUUUAAUGUUUGAUGUUCUAACGUUGGCCCCUGAUCGGGGUUGCGGACAGUGUCUGGUGGGUAGUUUGACUGGGGCGGUCUCCUCCUAAAGAGUAACGGAGGAGCACGAAGGUUGGCUAAUCCUGGUCGGACAUCAGGAGGUUAGUGCAAUGGCAUAAGCCAGCUUGACUGCGAGCGUGACGGCGCGAGCAGGUGCGAAAGCAGGUCAUAGUGAUCCGGUGGUUCUGAAUGGAAGGGCCAUCGCUCAACGGAUAAAAGGUACUCCGGGGAUAACAGGCUGAUACCGCCCAAGAGUUCAUAUCGACGGCGGUGUUUGGCACCUCGAUGUCGGCUCAUCACAUCCUGGGGCUGAAGUAGGUCCCAAGGGUAUGGCUGUUCGCCAUUUAAAGUGGUACGCGAGCUGGGUUUAGAACGUCGUGAGACAGUUCGGUCCCUAUCUGCCGUGGGCGCUGGAGAACUGAGGGGGGCUGCUCCUAGUACGAGAGGACCGGAGUGGACGCAUCACUGGUGUUCGGGUUGUCAUGCCAAUGGCACUGCCCGGUAGCUAAAUGCGGAAGAGAUAAGUGCUGAAAGCAUCUAAGCACGAAACUUGCCCCGA
rnacentral:rRNA from 1 species